rnacentral:miRNA from 1 species
GCUGGGGCUGGGCUGGGCUGGGCUGGGCUGGGCUGGGCUGGGCUGCGGCUG